GACGAACGCUGGCGGCGUGCUUAACACAUGCAAGUCGAACGGAAAGGCCCUGCUUUUGUGGGGUGCUCGAGUGGCGAACGGGUGAGUAACACGUGUGUAACCUGCCCUUGACUUUGGGAUAACUUCAGGAAACUGGGGCUAAUACCGGAUAGGAUCUACUGAUGCAUGGUGGGGGUUGGAAAGUUUCGGCGGUGGGGGAUGGACUCGCGGCUUAUCAGCUUGUUGGUGGGGUAGUGGCUUACCAAGGGUUUGACGGGUAGGCGGCCUGAGAGGGUGACCGGCCACAUUGGGACUGAGAUACGGCCCAGACUCCUACGGGAGGCAGCAGUGGGGAAUAUUGCACAAUGGGCGGAAGCCUGAUGCAGCAACGCCGCGUGCGGGAUGACGGCCUUCGGGUUGUAAACCGCUUUCGCCUGUGACGAAGCGUGAGUGACGGUAAUGGGUAAAGAAGCAACGGCUAACUACGUG
rnacentral:rRNA from 1 species